AGUGAACGCUGGCGGUAGGCCUAACACAUGCAAGUCGAACGGCAGCACAGUAAGCGCUUGCUCUUACGGGUGGCGAGUGGCGGACGGGUGAGGAAUACAUCGGAAUCUACUUUUUCGUGGGGGAUAACGUAGGGACACUUACGCUAAUACCGCAUACGACCUACGGGUGAAAGCAGGGGAUCUUCGCACCUUGCGCGAUUGAAUGAGCCGAUGUCGGAUUAGCUAGUUGGCGGGGUAAAGGCCCACCAAGGCGACGAUCCGUAGCUGGUCUGAGAGGAUGAUCAGCCACACUGGAACUGAGACACGGUCCAGACUCCUACGGGAGGCAGCAGUGGGGAAUAUUGGACAAUGGGCGCAAGCCUGAUCCAGCCAUACCGCGUGGGUGAAGAAGGCCUUCGGGUUGUAAAGCCCUUUUGUUGGGAAAGAAAAGCAGCAGGUUAAUACCCCGCUGUUCUGACGGUACCCAAAGAAUAAGCACCGGCUAACUUCGUG
rnacentral:rRNA from 1 species